UACAUACUCCCUCCGUCCCAAAAUGCUUGUCUUAAAUUCGUCUAGAUGCGAUGUAUCUAAUACUAAAAUAAGACUUGAUACAUCCGUAUUUAGACAAAUCUAAGAAUUUUGGGACGGAGGGAGUAUAUA
rfam:Triticum aestivum genome assembly, contig: Triticum_aestivum_CS42_TGACv1_scaffold_526647_6DL